CUAAGCGGUAUAGAGUUGAUUUCUUCAUGAUUAGAAUUCGGACUAUAUGGGAUGUUUGUUUUUUUGGUAAGACCACUUUUUUUUGAAGUAGCGGCAGAAAAAUCACCAGUAGAUUGCAGGAUUUUUAAUGAAGUAGCAAGCUCUUUACACCGGGAUUCAGUGAUAGAGUAUAAUUCCUGCCAAAUAGAUACGCUUCUAUCAAUAUCCUGAAAUAUACUUUUUAUACGUUGAGGAUCCCGCUUUGCAAUGAACCAAAGUUCUUCUGUUGCAAUGCAUUCAGUCAAUGGUUUUUUCUUAGUCUUCAUUCCAUCAACCAAUGUACCAUUAGGAUCGUUGGAGCGUGCACUUAAAAGCUUUCCUCUUAUCAUUGGGCCUGAAUACAGAAAGACACGGAAAAUUAAUAGUGCAAUUUGGAAAGUGAGGCAAACGAUAAAAGCCAUCCAGAAACUGUGUAAUAAAAGUCGUAAACUCAAAGGCCACUUUGGAGGAGUCUUUGUGUAUGCUAUGCGACGACAACAGCUCGUAAGGAGAGCUGCAAAGCGCCAAAUAUAUGAACGCAAAAUCGCGUAGCUAAAAGGAGUGAAAAGGCAACAGAUAAUGGAUUUUCUAAAGGAGAAUCUUAUCAACCAACCAAGAUUUUGAAAAAUGUAAUUAAAAAAUGAGACGUUUAUGACGGGACGAGAAGGAGAGUCGCGUUGUAGGUAAAGAUGUUCAACUGUCAAGGCUAAAAUGAGUAUAUGAGAGAAAUAGGUCAUAUAAACAAAUCUUUCAUUUAAACUUGGAAGUUCGUACGCGUUUGGUGAAGCAAUCCACUGCAGCCGAAUAGAGCUAGCGUGCCCUUUGAUAUAAAAAAGGCAAAGACAGCUUACGCUGACCGCAAAGGUCAAAUAAACUAAGAAGAAAGAUUUUGGCGAAAAGUCAUAGAAUAAUUGGGCACCCAGAGAUUGCUUUGUAACUUUUUGAGUAGACAUCCGACUUUUAAGCAUUACAAAAUAGGGAAACAUAAAAAAGAAACAUACAAACCCACGAACCAAACUUAGAAACCAAAAACUCAGGGAAAUAACUAAUCCAUAUUAGUAUCUUUCAGAAGAAUCAUUCAACUUACAGGGUCCUGAAGAAAACCAGUAGGAAGUUAUGCAACAUAAACAUAAAAGGGCGAAGCAGGCACGUAGAAACCGCUGCUGUAAUAUUGGUCUUAGCAGCGUAU